rnacentral:lncRNA from 1 species
GUGCGGACGCCCCAGCCGCGCCCAUCAUCCGUGCGGAAGAUGCAGAGGUCAUAUCGGAUGCCCUUCUGUACCACGCGAUUUGGGCAGUCAUAGCCGCAGCGGCAGCGGGAGUUGCACUCGUAGAUGGGCAGCCCGGCUCGAAGCCGCACCUGGCCCUGGUCAUUGUAGGCAAACUUGUGCAGUGACGCCCCCGGGCAGCAGCCUCCAGUGGGUGCCCACAGACAGUCCUGGCACUCGCAGCCCACAGCCACCUGGUUGAGGGUGAUGCCCUCACCAACACGGUACUCAUUGAUGUACACGAAGGCCCGCGGAGGGCCGUCCAGGUCCACCUCAUUCUCUACAGUGAUGCGUCCCAGAUGGCUGCGCUUGGCAUUGAGCUCCUGCUCCCAGCGACGGAGCGCCCGCCUCUGCUUGGCCUUCUGCACCAGGUCAGGUACUCGACUUCAAAGUCAUAGAGGUUCCUCUUAGAGAUACCGAGGGCAGGGCAGGAGAGCUUGGCCAGGCGGCACAGGUCCUGCAGCUGAUUCCAAGAAGACUUGCAACACACGCUGCCUAACGACAUUCGGGCCUAGCCGGCCUCGCGAGAAGA